CCUACGGGGGGCAGCAGUGGGGAAUAUUGGACAAUGGGCGAAAGCCUGAUCCAGCCAUGCCGCGUGUGUGAAGAAGGCCUUCGGGUUGUAAAGCACUUUCAGUGGGGAAGAAAGCCUUGGGGCUAAUACCCUCGAGGAAGGACAUCACCCACAGAAGAAGCACCGGCUAACUCCGUGCCAGCAGCCGCGGUAAUACGGAGGGUGCGAGCGUUAAUCGGAAUUACUGGGCGUAAAGCGCGCGUAGGCGGUCUGAUAAGCCGGUUGUGAAAGCCCCGGGCUCAACCUGGGAACGGCAUCCGGAACGGUCAGGCUAGAGUGCAGGAGAGGAAGGUAGAAUUCCCGGUGUAGCGGUGAAAUGCGUAGAGAUCGGGAGGAAUACCAGUGGCGAAGGCGGCCUUCUGGACUGACACUGACGCUGAGGUGCGAAAGCGUGGGUAGCAAACAGGAUUAGAUACCCUUGUAGUC
rnacentral:rRNA from 1 species